UACGGGGGGGGUAAGCGUUGUUCGGAAUUACUGGGCGUAAAGGGCUCGUAGGCGGCCAACUAAGUCAUACGUGAAAUCCCUCAGCUUAACUGGGGAACUGCGUGUGAUACUGGAUGGCUUGGAUUUGGGAGAGGGAUGCGGAAUUCCAGGUGUAGCGGUGGAAUGCGUAGAUAUCUGGAGGAACACCGGUGGCGAAGGCGGCAUCCUGGACCGACACUGACGCUGGAGGAGCGAAAGCCAGGGAGCAAACGGG
rnacentral:rRNA from 1 species